GUUAGUAUUGUAUUUCGAGAGUCGAUUUCCUUCAGUUAUCGGUACAUAUUCAAUACGGUCGGGCCGAGUGUGUGUGUGUUUUUUACAAUGACAGCUAUAAAGAGAUCGACCUCAUCACCUUAUAUUCCUUUUCCUAUUCAAUUUCCAUUAUUACUUUCGAUGGAAUCUAAGCAGAACACUACUGACAAGAGUGUAGAAAAUGAAACUACCCUCUAGUGCAACAGUUUCGUCAACAUUUGGUUAUGAUAAAUUAAAAAUCUUGUCGAACUUAAUCAUUUUAGAUGCUUGUUUUCAACUUUUCGUGCUUUUAAUUAUCAUUUCUUUUUGGUUUGGAAUGGUGCUAUCUUAGAUUUUUCAUGAUCGGUGAUGUUAUUUUUGAAAUUA